UUCCUACAGAUGACCUUUGGGAGCUGGAAACUCUGAGUGUUGUGGAGAGAACAUGAUUUCCUGACUGCUACUGUAAGCGAACCUUGAAACAGCAGUCCUGCAUCACAGCCCAGCAAAUGAAAAAUGUGAACAGCAAGAAUGAACAGGGAAUUAUGGUAAAACAAAUAAAGUAACUAUCAUCGAGGGAAGCUGAAAAGUCUGAUCCUUCAAGACUGGAGGAACUGGUGCUCAUUUUUGUACUCCAUCUUUGCUUUUGAAAGCAGAAUUUCCAGCACUUUCAAAUCAAGUUUAGUAAAAAUGGAAAGACAUUGUCUCAGACUAGGAGAAAAAAAAAGCAAAACUGCACAAGUCUUUCCCACUGCAAUAGAACAGAUAAUUUUUAAGUGUUUGGUCUUUUCCCCAUUUCCACUACAUGUGUGUAGAAAACAGCAGAAUGAUGAAAGAUGAAAUAAGAAUGACUUGAUUGACAAAUUCAGAAGAUAGUAUAUAGUGAAGACAUUCUCCAGAAUUAUUUAGCAACAAGAUGUAUCUUGUGUAAAUAAGAUGGAAGGUUUCAGCAUGGCAUGGAACCAUCUCUGUCCAUCUGGCUUUGCAAGGAAAUUAUGUGGGGAAAGUAGAAUCACACUUCAAGCAAUAAAAAAAAGAAUCACUGAAAUGAUAUCAGUGAGAUUAAAACAAACAAACAAAAGAGAAUCCUGACUAAUGCCAUCUAAAAAUAUGGAGCUGUUCUAGGAAAUAUAAAAAGAAGUGAGAACUGAUGGAAAUGAAGAACCAAGGUUUGGAUUUAGUAAACGAUGCUUACUUGAUUACACCCAUAUGCAGUCACUGAUGAGCUCUUGAGCAGAACUGAUGAAAAAUUGGAUUGUUUACAUGUAUCAAACGGAGCAAAUGGGAGUCUGAACUCAAUGUGCCAAAAAACCUUGAGAAUAAAAAUGCUAGCAAUAAUUGCUACAUUUUAUGUGUCAAUAGCACGCCAGCAAGGAUUCUGCAUCAAACUCUGGCCAAUGGGAAAAGGUUGGGUAAGUGAAACUGUAAUAUCACUUAUCUACCAAGCAGGCCACCUGAUGACUGACAACUUUAAUUUCAGCGUGAAAUUGGCUGACUGGCUGUUGAAACAUCCAUCCCUUCUGACAGGGAUGGUAGUCUCUGGAUAUUUACUACUAGAACCUUCCACAGUCGCCCUCCUGCUGCACUUAUCUUCAUUUCAAGCAGCAAAGAGAGGGGCCUUGGCCAAAAUCACAGCUCUCCAUGGAGGAGUGGGGCAGUGAUGGCUUCUCAUGGUCUCCAGGUCACAUUGCCCCUGCCUCUCUGGAAAGGUCCUUGUGCUCAUGAGAAAAUAUAAGUUCUGGGGAGCUGUGUACCCAGAGCACGAAGUGAGGUCUUUGAGGUAGGUGUGGGAGUAAAACUCAAAGAGAUUUAUUUUAUAUGAAAUGAAUCAGGAUCAGGAUCAGGAGUGCAGAUUUUGGAGACCCACCAGAAGAAAAAAGCUUCCCUUUGUUCUUGGUCAUGACCCUGCAUGAGAAAGAUGUGAAUGUGGUGUUGCCCUGGGUUAACAGCACUCAUUGUCUUACAGCACAGAAUGCUACCAUCAGUCUUUUCAAAAUAAAUACUAAUUGGGGAGAGAAUAGUCAAAAUAACCAUGACUACUACAUGCUGAAUAUUGCAGGGUUCUCCUGCCUGGAAAGAAGAGAUAUUUAAAUAUCUGAUUAUUAUCUGUAAUUUGGUGAGCUGGAAGAAAAGUGUAUCUUGUUUUUAAGCUGCAGUCUCAUAGUUACAAAGACCUGCUGUGGUCCUGAAGCUGACUGCUUUGGAUGUCUUUGCUUAUUUAGGAUCUUCAUUAGUACUUGCAAUCAUUUAAUUAGUCUGUUUUUGAUAUUUGCCAUCCACUUUGGGUUGAGGGAACCUUUACAGCUAAACAACAAUUAAAACAGAAGCCAAAGAGCAGAUCCCCAAGCCCUUCCAAAUCAGCCUUGAAUUGUGAGCUCCUUCCUCCAGAGCAGCUUUCCACCAGAGGAACCACCAGCAAUUCCAGGGGCUUUGCCACAGCACCACGUGCAGAUUUUGCUUUGCCUCCAAUUCUGCAUUUAAUCAUACUGAGAAUUCUCCAGAGCAGUCCAGGUGCUGCUAAAAUGUUUGGUCUCAUGGCACCCAAGAGGUCCACAGAAAACAUUCUUCCAUUAACUGCAACGAGGGACAUUCCAUCAGUCUGUGCCUGACAGUCCAAGAGCCAUUCCUUGGAAAGAAGUGAUUAAAAAAAACCCCAAAAUUAGAAAACAUGUCUGCCUAAAUAAAAGCCUUCCAUAU